AGCGUUCAGGGCCGUCGCACUCGCCGUCGGCGCCAUUCGGGUCACGUGGUCGUAUGAGGGGUGAACGACGCGACUUUCUCUCUCUCGCUUCGAUGUUUGCCAGCCGUUUCUACUUGUUUUACUUCACGAUAAAAAAGGAUAGUCAAAAGAGACGAAUGACUGCAAAAUAUUGGUUACCAGCGAAGAAUUAUGUGAAUAUAUAUAUAGUUACUUUAUAUUCUUACGAACAUAUUCUUUCUAACCUAAUGUACGAUAUAUAUAAAAGAAUAUCAUUGUACAAAGUAUCGAGUUUUAAUUUCGCGCGAUUUUAAUGAAAACAUAAUAAUAUUAUAAGCUUGAUAUUUUGUUUCGAAUUAAAAAGUGUAUAAAAUAGUGAAAAUAUUGUGCAGCAAUACUUCAAACGUACAAUUAUUAUUACAAGAAUGAGGAUCUUCUCGAUAUUCGAUUUCUCGAUAGACUACGACCAUGAUGCUAUUCAUGGAAGACGAUAUUUGUAAGAAACGAAGAAUUCUUGUGCAACAAAAGAAAAUCAAAUCAUACAUUUCUACAAUCUUCAAUUACGAUGUAGGCAAAUAAUUGCAAGAUGUCAAGUAUAAUUGAAGAUAGAAGCUCGUCAUCUCGAAGAAAGGCUUUUACCUUCUAAAUCAUAUUGAGUUUCAUCGAAACAUCAACAUUCUCGUUAGAAUGCGGGGGCUCUCGUAAAAAGCACUCAAAGCACUCUAGAUGAAAUCGCCUGUAAACAAAUUAUAAAUUACUAUACCCUUGAAUACGAAUACAUCAGUACACGAUUAUGAAUUUACUAUGAGAAAUUUUUAUUUCUCCAAUAGUUUCUCCAAUGAUAAUCAAAAAUUUUACCUAUAUAAAGGAUAAGACUUAUAAUUAUAAUUUAGACUUUUUUUUAUUAUCAUUUACAUAAAGAAUAAGGUUUGAGUAUUUUUAGUAGAGAAUAAUUCAGAUAAUAAAAAAAAAAUUUCAAAGUAUAAUGAUUAUAAAAUGACUGUAAAACAACUAUAAGAAUAGGUUAAAUUGCAUAUUAAAAUUAACGUUUAUACUUUACAUUCUAUCCUUUCAUUUGUU